ensembl:snRNA U6 U6 spliceosomal RNA
GUGCUCGCUUCCGCAGCACAGUUACUAAACUUGGAACAAUACAGAGAUUAGCAUGGCCCCUGCAAAAGGGCGACAGGCAAAUUCGUGACGUGUUCCAUUUUUAA